rnacentral:rRNA from 1 species
AUUGAACGCUGGCGGCAUGCCUUACACAUGCAAGUCGAACGGCAGCGCGGACUUCGGUCUGGCGGCGAGUGGCGAACGGGUGAGUAAUACAUCGGAACGUACCCUGUUGUGGGGGAUAACUAGUCGAAAGAUUAGCUAAUACCGCAUACGACCUGAGGGUGAAAGUGGGGGACCGCAAGGCCUCACGCAGCAGGAGCGGCCGAUGUCUGAUUAGCUAGUUGGUGGGGUAAAGGCCCACCAAGGCGACGAUCAGUAGCUGGUCUGAGAGGACGAUCAGCCACACUGGGACUGAGACACGGCCCAGACUCCUACGGGAGGCGGCAGUGGGGAAUUUUGGACAAUGGGGGCAACCCUGAUCCAGCAAUGCCGCGUGUGUGAAGAAGGCCUUCGGGUUGUAAAGCACUUUUGUCCGGAAAGAAAUCGCGCUGGUUAAUACCUGGCGUGGAUGACGGUACCGGAAGAAUAAGCACCGGCUAACUACGUG